GUAUGUGAGGGCGAUCUGGCUGUGACAUCUGUCACCCCAUUGAUCGCCAGGGUUGAUUCGACUGAUCUGGCCUGCUAGGCACGUGUCUACUCCCUCCCUCACUGCUCCAUGUGCAUCGUGCAUCCUUCCUGAAGCAGCAUGCUCGGUUGAGGAGGGCGGCCUUCCCCCAAUAGAGAUAGACUGGUCUUUGGUCAAGGAGAUAAUGUAGCUCUGCUCCCCUGCUAGAAUCUCCAAACAAGCUCCCCAAACCAUUUGAUGUAUUGAUUAUUACUGAAUAAGUUUUGUCUGUCUAUAUAUAUAUGUAUAUGUAUGCAUGUAUAUUUAU
rnacentral:snRNA from 1 species